AAUCUUAAACCGUUAAACUGCAAAUUUAAUAAAGAAUUUAAAUUCUAAGAUUU
rnacentral:tRNA from 1 species